rnacentral:rRNA from 1 species
CCUACGGGUGGCAGCAGUGGGGAAUAUUGGUCAAUGGACGCAAGUCUGAACCAGCCAAGUAGCGUGAAGGAUGACGGCCCUCCGGGUUGUAAACUGCGUUUAGUUGGGAGUAAAAGUGGGCUCGUGAGCCCCGUAUUGUAUGUACCAUCAGAAAAAGGACCGGCUAAUUCCGUGCCAGCAGCCGCGGUACUACGGAAGGUCCGGGCGUUAUCCGGAUUUAUUGGGUUUAAAGGGAGCGUAGGCCGGCUUUUAAGUCAGCUGUGAAAGUCCGCGGCGCAACCGGGGAAUUGCAGUUGAAACUGGAGGACUUGAGUGCAGACAGGGAUGCCGGAAUUCAUGGUGUAGCGGUGAAAUGCUUAGAUAUUAUGAAGAACUCCGAUCGCGAAGGCAACUGUCCGGGGUGCAACUGACGCUGAGGCUCGAAAGUGCGGGUAUCAAACAGGAUUAGAUACCCGAGUAGUC